rnacentral:rRNA from 1 species
AUUGAACGCUGGCGGAAUGCUUUACACAUGCAAGUCGAGCGGCAGCACGGGGGCAACCCUGGUGGCGAGCGGCGAACGGGUGAGUAAUACAUCGGAACAUGCCCAGUCGUGGGGGAUAACACUUCGAAAGAAGUGCUAAUACCGCAUACGUCCUGAGGGAGAAAGCGGGGGAUCUUCGGACCUCGCGCGAUUGGAGUGGCCGAUGUCAGAUUAGCUAGUUGGUGGGGUAAAGGCCUACCAAGGCAACGAUCUGUAGCUGGUCUGAGAGGAUGAUCAGCCACACUGGGGCUGAGAGACGGCCCAGACUCCUACGGGAGGCAGCAGUGGGGAAUUUUGGACAAUGGGGGCAACCCUGAUCCAGCCAUUUCGCGUGAGUGAAGAAGGCCUUCGGGUUGUAAAGCUCUUUCGGCAGGAACGAAACGGCGAGCUCUAACAUAGCUUGCUAAUGACGGUACCUGAAGAAGAAGCACCGGCUAACUACGUGCCAGCCGCCGCGGUAAAAC